rnacentral:rRNA from 1 species
UACGAAGGGGGCUAGCGUUGCUCGGAAUGACUGGGCGUAAGAGCGUGUAGGCGGCCAUGUAGGUCCGUUGUGAAAACUCGAGGCUCAACCUCGAGACGCCGAUGGAAACCAUGUGGCUAGAGUCCGGAAGAGGAGAGUGGAAUUCCUGGUGUGCGGUGAAAUGCGCAGAUAUCAGGAAGAACACCCGUGGCUAAGGCGGCUCUCUAGUACGGUACUGACGCUGAGACGCGAAAGCGUGGGGAGCGAACAGG